UAUUGCACAAUGGGGGAAACCCUGAUGCAGCGACGCCGCGUGAGUGAAGAAGUAUCUCGGUAUGUAAAGCUCUAUUAGCAGGGAAGAAAAUGACGGUAUCUGAUUAAGAAGCCCCGGCUAACAACUUGCCAGCAGCCGCGGUAAUACGUAGGGGGCAAGCGUUAUCCGGAUUUACUGGGUGUAAAGGGAGCGUAGACGGCAGAACAAGUCUGGAGUGAAAUGCCGGGGCUUAACCCCGGAACUGCUUUGGAAACUGUGCAGCUAGAGUGCAGGAGAGGUAAGUGGAAUUCCUAGUGUAGCGGUGUAAUGCGUAGAUAUUAGGAGGAACACCAGUGGCGAAGGCGGCUUACUGGACUGUAACUGACGUUGAGGCUCGAAAGCGUGGGGAGCAAACAGG
rnacentral:rRNA from 1 species